UGGGGAAUUUUGGACAAUGGGCGAAAGCCUGAUCCAGCAAUGCCGCGUGUGUGAAGAAGGCCUUCGGGUUGUAAAGCACUUUUGUCCGGAAAGAAAUCCUUGGCUCUAAUACAGUCGGGGGAUGACGGUACCGGAAGAAUAAGCACCGGCUAACUACGUGCCAGCAGCCGCGGUAAUACGUAGGGUGCAAGCGUUAAUCGGAAUUACUGGGCGUAAAGCGUGCGCAGGCGGUUUGCUAAGACCGAUGUGAAAUCCCCGGGCUCAACCUGGGAACUGCAUUGGUGACUGGCAGGCUAGAGUAUGGCAGAGGGGGGUAGAAUUCCACGUGUAGCAGUGAAAUGCGUAGAGAUGUGGAGGAAUACCGAUGGCGAAGGCAGCCCCCUGGGCCAAUACUGACGCUCAUGCACGAAAGCGUGGGGGAGCAAAACAGGAUUAGAUACCCUGGUAGUCCACGCCCUAAACGAUGUCAACUAGUUGUUGGGGAUUCAUUUCCUUAGUAACGUAGCUAACGCGUGAAGUUGACCGCCUGGGGAGUACGGUCGCAAGAUUAAAACUUAAAUGAAUUGACGGGGUCAUAGCUGUUUCCU
rnacentral:rRNA from 1 species